UGCCUCGUCCUGCGCCAGACGCGCGGCGUGGAUGCAAAGCCAGGAGGGAGGGACGCACGCGGGGGUCUCUCAAGUCCGACCAGUAGCAGCAGCAGCAGCAGCAGCACCACACGGGAUUUCCUACACAUUUAAAACCUCCUCGCAGAAGAGAGGCACACCGCAUCGUCUCUCUUUCGAGUCGGGCGCAAAGAAGCCAGAGCGUCGACUGUGAACCGGAGAGUCGUCUCUCAAGCGUGGCAGUGAGGUCAUUGGGCUGAGGGAUGGUUUGUCCUUUUCAGUGCAAGACUGACUACUGUUGUUGAUGAUCAAGCAAAAACUACAAUAUCUGAAAACCUUCCCAGUUGGCCUACAAGGAAGUAUACUUUUUGGACAGCUCACCACGAAAGCACCAAGAACACAGGAGGAGGAAAUAUCAAAGGCAUUGAACAUUGCUGGAUGAGCUGGCUGUGAAAAAGGGGGGAAAUAAUCUCAAAAGCUUUUUUUUUUUUUUUUUUUUUCGAAGAAGAAGAAGAGAGCUCAUCUCUUGUUUGGAACGUUCUCGUUGAAAAGUGCUGUUAUGUCAUGUGAAACUAUCGGGCAAGUGGGUCAGAGAUGGAAUCCGAGUGAGUGACCAUGUUACAAUACAACUCUUGGCAGGACAAAGGAAUCGAAACUGACCUAUAAACCUGCAUCUAGUAUAUAACUGAACAUUUUUGAUCCCAUGGAUUAACAUUCACCUCUUUGCAACGUGGACA